rnacentral:tRNA from 1 species
GGGCCCAUAGUCUAACUUGGAUAGAACAGAUGGCUUCGAAUGCCACAGAUGGGAGUAACCAUCUGAUCUGGGUUCAAAUCCCAGUGGGCCCA